UGGGGAAUUUUGGACAAUGGGCGAAAGCCUGAUCCAGCAAUGCCGCGUGUGUGAAGAAGGCCUUCGGGUUGUAAAGCACUUUUGUCCGGGAAGAAAUCCUUGGCUCUAAUACAGUCGGGGGAUGACGGUACCGGAAGAAUAAGCACCGGCUAACUACGUGCCAGCAGCCGCGGUAAUACGUAGGGUGCAAGCGUUAAUCGGAAUUACUGGGCGUAAAGCGUGCGCAGGCGGUUUGCUAAGACCGAUGUGAAAUCCCCGGGCUCAACCUGGGAACUGCAUUGGUGACUGGCAGGCUAGAGUAUGGCAGAGGGGGGUAGAAUUCCACGUGUAGCAGUGAAAUGCGUAGAGAUGUGGAGGAAUACCGAUGGCGAAGGCAGCCCCCUGGGCCAAUACUGACGCUCAUGCACGAAAGCGUGGGGAGCAAACAGGAUUAGAUACCCUGGUAGUCCACGCCCUAAACGAUGUCAACUAGUUGUUGGGGAUUCAUUUCCUUAGUAACGUAGCUAACGCGUGAAGUUGACCGCCUGGGGAGUACGGUCGCAAGAUUAAAACUCAAAUGAAUUGACGGGGUCAUAGCUGUUUCCU
rnacentral:rRNA from 1 species